AACGUAGGACGCAAGCGUUAUCCGGAGUUACUGGGCGUAAAGGGCGCGUAGGCGGCCUUCUAAGUCGAACGUGAAAUCCCCGGGCUCAACCCGGGAACUGCGUCCGAUACUGGAAGGCUUGAGGAUGGGAGAGGGAUGUAGAAUUCCAGGCGUAGCGGUGAAAUGCGUAGAUAUCUGGAGGAAUACCGGUGGCGAAGGCGGCAUCCUGGACCAUUACUGACGCUGAGGCGCGAAAGCUAGGGGAGCAAACGGG
rnacentral:rRNA from 1 species